rnacentral:rRNA from 1 species
CCCUUAGAUGUCCGGGGCUGCACGCGCGCUACACUGAAGGAAUCAGCGUGCUAAAACCAUUGUCGAAAGGCAUUGGUAAACCCAUUAAAAUCCUACGUGAUUGGGAUCGGGAAUGGCAAUUAUUUCCCUUGAACGAGGAAUUCCCAGUAAGUGUGGGUCAUAAGCUCGCGUUGAUUACGUCCCUGCCCUUUGUACACACCGCCCGUCGCUGCCCGGGACUGAGCCGUUUCGAGAAAAGCGGGGACUGCUGCUGUCGGGGCUUUCGGGCCUUGGCUUCGGUGGAAACCGCUUUAAUCGCAGUGGCUUGAACCGGGCAAAAGUCGUAACA